ACGUGGAUGAUGUUGGCUGGGCAGGCAUUUGUUGCUCAUCCCUAGUUGACCUUGAGAAGAUAUUGGAGCAAGAUGCCCUCAGUUGGGCAGAAAGACUCAACAGCUCAGACUGCUAAUAAGGUAUUUAGCAAGCAAUACUGAGCAUCAGUUGGGUACUCACAGCUGCCGAGCAAAAAGCUUGCCACAGAAGAAACUCAUCAGUCAAAUAAGAUGCAGCAAGAGACUCAAGCACCCAGAAAUACAGACAAAUGGCUCACAGUUUGUUAAAUGAAUAUGUAAAUUAUUAAUUAGUGGUGCCUCUCAAGAUAUAACUCAAGAAACUCCUUGCUCAGUUCAACAAACAGCUAUGAAGAAUACAAAGAACAGUCUAUAACGUAUGAAGAGGAUUCAUU